CGUCGAGGAUGCACUUCUUAUAGAGACUGCUCUGGAGGACACAAAUGCUGUCCAUUUCCCUGUGGGCCUGUGUGUGUGCCGCCUGUUUUCACAAAGCCAGGAGAGUGUCCAAGCCCAAAUUUUGGAGCAGGAAUGUGUGCCGAGUUGUGUUUCUAUGACAGUGACUGUCCGAACAAUGAGAAAUGCUGCAGCAAUGGAUGUGGACGUCAGUGUAUGGCUCCAUUUGCAGUGAAGCCUGCAGCCGAACCGCCGGAGCCUUCCACUGAAC